rnacentral:rRNA from 1 species
CAGCAGCCGCGGUAAUACGUAGGCAGCGAGCGUUGUUCGGAAUUACUGGGCGUAAAGAGUGUGUAGGCGGUGCUCUAAGUCUGGUGUGAAAUCUCCCGGCUCAACUGGGAGGGUGCGCCGGAAACUGGAGUGCUCGAGUAUGGGAGAGGUAAGCGGAAUUCCUGGUGUAGCGGUGAAAUGCGUAGAUAUCAGGAGGAACACCUGUGGUGUAGACAGCUUACUGGACCAUCACUGACGCUGAGACACGAAAGCGUGGGUAGCAAACAGGAUUAGAUACCCUGGUAGUCCACGCCCUAAACGAUGCAUACUUGGUGUGAGCGAUUCAUUUCGUUCGUGCCGGAGCUAACGCGUUAAGUAUGCCGCCUGGGGAGUACGGUCGCAAGGCUGAAACUCAAAUGAAUUG